rnacentral:tRNA from 1 species
GGGCCUGUAGCUCAGUUGGUAGAGCAGCGGACUUUUAAUCCGAAGCGCCUGGGAUCGAGACCCAGCGGGCCCA